rnacentral:rRNA from 1 species
CUCGUAGGCGGCUUGUCGCGUCGGCUGUGAAAACCUGGGGCUCAACCCCGGGCCUGCAGCCGAUACGGGCAAGCUAGAAUUCGGUAGGGGAGACUGGAAUUCCUGGUGUAGCGGUGAAAUGCGCAGAUAUCAGGAGGAACACCGGUGGCGAAGGCGGGUCUCUGGGCCGAAAUUGACGCUGAGGAGCGAAAGCGUGGGGAAGCAAACA